rnacentral:rRNA from 1 species
AUGGCGAGCAAGCAGCUCCGGGCUGUCCUCCUCGCCGCCUACGCCGCGGUCCUGGCCCUCGCUGGCGACCCCGACAUGCUCCAGGACCUUUGCGUCGCCGACUACAAAUCACUCGACGGCCCGCUGCGGCUGAACGGGUACCCGUGUAAGAGGCCGGAGAGCACGACGGCGAACGACUUCUUCUCCGACGUGCUGUCCGUCCCUGGCAACACGGGCGGCAACCCGUCAGGCUCCGUGGUAACGGCGGCGACCGUGGACAAGGUCCCGGGGCUCAACACCAUGGGCGUGUCCAUGUCUCGCAUUGACUACGCACCAUGGGGCGCGAACCCGCCGCACACCCACCCGGGGGCCAGCGAGCUCCUCCUCGUCCUCGAGGGCUCCCUCGACGUUGGAUUCAUCACCACCACCGGCAAGUUUGUCGGUCGCACCGUCUGCAAAGGGGAAAUGUUUGUCUUCCCACGCGGCCUCGUCCACUUUCAGAGGAACAACAACGGUUCUCCCGCCGCCGCCAUAUCGGCCUUCAACAGCCAGCUUCCGGGCACGCAGAAGUGGGCUGAGGCAUUGUACACUGCCUUGCCGCCGGUUCCAGCCGACGUGCUAGCCAGGGCGCUCGAUGUCAACGACUGCAUGGUCGAGCCGUGCGUAAUAUAA